AGCUCCAAUAGCGUAUAUUUAAGUUGUUGCAGUUAAAAAGCUCGUAGUUGGAUUUCUGAUCAGCAUCAUGUGUCUGCCGUUUCGGUGUGUACGCAUGCUGUUGGUCAUCUAGUCGGAGGAGGGUAUGCUAUUGACUUAGUGUGCCUCUUUUUCGGCGGCGAUACUUUGAGUAAAACAUAGUGUUCCAAGCAGGCGUUAGCCUUGAGUACUGCAGCAUGGAAUAUCAUGAUAGGACUUUCCAUCCUAUCUUGUUGGUUCUUAGGAUGGAAGUAAUGAUCAAUAGGGACAGUUGGACUGAUUCGUACCGGGUUGUCAGAGGUGAAAUUCUUGGAUUAUCCCGUGACGAACUACUGCGAAAGCAUUUCAGGAGGAUGUUUUCA
rnacentral:rRNA from 1 species